GAUGAACGCUGGCGGCGUGCCUAAUACAUGCAAGUCGAGCGAACGGACGAGAAGCUUGCUUCUCUGAUGUUAGCGGCGGACGGGUGAGUAACACGUGGAUAACCUACCUAUAAGACUGGGAUAACUUCGGGAAACCGGAGCUAAUACCGGAUAAUAUUUUGAACCGCAUGGUUCAAAAGUGAAAGACGGUCUUGCUGUCACUUAUAGAUGGAUCCGCGCUGCAUUAGCUAGUUGGUAAGGUAGCGGCUUACCAAGGCAACGAUGCAUAGCCGACCUGAGAGGGUGAUCGGCCACACUGGAACUGAGACACGGUCCAGACUCCUACGGGAGGCAGCAGUAGGGAAUCUUCCGCAAUGGGCGAAAGCCUGACGGAGCAACGCCGCGUGAGUGAUGAAGGUCUUCGGAUCGUAAAACUCUGUUAUUAGGGAAGAACAUAUGUGUAAGUAACUGUGCACAUCUUGACGGUACCUAAUCAGAAAGCCACGGCUAACUACGUGCCAGCAGCCGCGGUAAUACGUAGGUGGCAAGCGUUAUCCGGAAUUAUUGGGCGUAAAGCGCGCGUAGGCGGUUUUUUAAGUCUGAUGUGAAAGCCCACGGCUCAACCGUGGAGGGUCAUUGGAAACUGGAAAACUUGAGUGCAGAAGAGGAAAGUGGAAUUCCAUGUGUAGCGGUGAAAUGCGCAGAGAUAUGGAGGAACACCAGUGGCGAAGGCGACUUUCUGGUCUGUAACUGACGCUGAUGUGCGAAAGCGUGGGGAUCAAACAGGAUUAGAUACCCUGGUAGUCCACGCCGUAAACGAUGAGUGCUAAGUGUUAGGGGGUUUCCGCCCCUUAGUGCUGCAGCUAACGCAUUAAGCACUCCGCCUGGGGAGUACGACCGCAAGGUUGAAACUCAAAGGAAUUGACGGGGAUCCGCACAAGCGGUGGAGCAUGUGGUUUAAUUCGAAGCAACGCGAAGAACCUUACCAAAUCUUGACAUCCUUUGACAACUCUAGAGAUAGAGCCUUCCCCUUCGGGGGACAAAGUGACAGGUGGUGCAUGGUUGUCGUCAGCUCGUGUCGUGAGAUGUUGGGUUAAGUCCCGCAACGAGCGCAACCCUUAAGCUUAGUUGCCAUCAUUAAGUUGGGCACUCUAAGUUGACUGCCGGUGACAAACCGGAGGAAGGUGGGGAUGACGUCAAAUCAUCAUGCCCCUUAUGAUUUGGGCUACACACGUGCUACAAUGGACAAUACAAAGGGCAGCGAAACCGCGAGGUCAAGCAAAUCCCAUAAAGUUGUUCUCAGUUCGGAUUGUAGUCUGCAACUCGACUACAUGAAGCUGGAAUCGCUAGUAAUCGUAGAUCAGCAUGCUACGGUGAAUACGUUCCCGGGUCU
rnacentral:rRNA from 1 species